GCAGGGGCGUAAUAAAUGACCUUAUGGAUAUAAUUAAUGAAUUCGCAGUAUCUCAUCUUGGUGCGCAGACAGUUGGCCAGGGUAUGGCAUCCAAGUGACGUGAUCUGAUGUGGCCUGCCAGGAUGGCGUGGUGGCUAUGUUAGGUACUUGACUAGUCAGUUGAGGCCUGUGCCAUGAGAGUCAGUAGAAUGAGCUUAUUGAGGGGUAGCAUCCCGUUAUCAAUUGUUGAUUGGCACAAUUGAUUGAG
rnacentral:lncRNA from 1 species